UUCUUCUUCUUCUUCUUCUGAUUCUGAUAUUAAUUGUAGCAAUAUCAAUCAAGGCCAGCACUGCUGGACCAAACCUGCUGUGGAUCGCCUUAUCAUCAUUGUUCUUGAUGCUCUCAGGUUUGAUUUUGUCGCUCCCAGCACAUUUUUUCCAGAGAAAAAGCCAUGGAUGGACAAACUCCCCGUUUUACAAAGAUUAGCAUUCAAACAAGGAUCAUCUGCCAGGAUUUUCAAAGCUAUUGCAGAUCCCCCUACCACAAGUCUUCAACGUUUGAAGGGCUUGACUACUGGUGGACUGCCAACUUUUAUCGAUGUUGGAAACAGCUUUGGUGCACCUGCAAUUGUUGAAGAUAACUUCAUACACCAGUUGGCUGUAAAUGGGAAGCGAGUAGUGAUGAUGGGUGAUGACACAUGGAUUCAGUUGUUUCCUCAUCAUUUUAAUAAAUCUUAUCCUUACCCAUCUUUUAAUGUGAAAGAUCUUCACACGGUAGACAAUGGAUGCAUUGACCAUCUAUUUCCAUCCCUAUAUCAAGAAGAUUGGGAUGUUCUUAUUGCACAUUUUCUUGGUGUGGAUCACGCUGGGCAUAUAUUUGGUGUUGAUUCUAUUCAAAUGAUAGAAAAGUUGGAGCAGUACAAUAUCAUUCUAGAGAAAGUAAUCAGGGAGCUGGAGAGUCAGUCUGGGCCAGGUGGCUUACAUGAAAAUACUCUCCUCCUUGUGAUGGGUGACCAUGGACAAACCCUAAAUGGUGAUCAUGGUGGAGGGAGUGCUGAAGAGGUGGAAACAUCAAUUUUUGCCAUGAAUUUUAAGCAGCCCCCAGUUUCCAUUCCAUCUGAACUUGACACUUCAUUUUGUGAGCAAGAUUCGGACGGGAAGAAGAUGUGUACCAGCUCCAUUCAACAGCUUGAUUUUGCAGUAACAGUGUCAGCUUUACUUGGUGUUUCCUUUCCUUUUGGAAGGUGCUGUGUAAGAAUCCUUGAAUUUUAACUUCAUUAUCACUUUAUUCAUAUAAUGUCUAUUUAUGUGAUGAUUUUAGAAUUGAUUAACUACAUCAACUUUGCUAAUCUAAUUUGUCACUACUAUGCUUUGGCAAGUCAGUGGUAUAUGUAUGGUUUAUGCUAUGAAGUUGAUCUCCUUUAGGUCAGUUAACACAAUAACUUUAUUGGGGCUGGUAUAUUUUUUGUAUCAUGUCUUCAGACUAUAAAUGUUGAUCAAAUUAAUAUACAGACUAGUUUUACUUGUUAGUAUUUUUAUUUAUUGUAGCUGGAAUGUCAAAAAACUGAAUUUGCCAAAGACGGCUGUUUAUAUAGUUGUUAUUUUUUUGCAUUGUUUUGUAUGGCAAUUUGUAUCCCUGUGGAAAUGAAAUUCUUUAGUAACAUUAAGGCACGUUCUCUCGUGUUCAUAUAUCUAUGGUCCAAAAACUCAAAAAUAUCCAUUUUCUUUAGUCAUAUGCAUUUCAUUUUGUUCUAGUAAAAGGUACUUGUAUGCCAAUUCUAUUGGGUUUUGCAUUCUUUAGUUUUAGUUUGCUUAUAUUCCACUGUAUAGUGUAUUGUUAUAUUGCUUGCUUGUUGCAACUGUUGUCUCAGCAUUGAUGCUCACCAGGCUGUUUUUCCCCCCCUCCUUUCAGCAUUGGGUGCGUUAAUCCUGAGCUAUAUGCUUUAGGUGCCGGUACAUGGAAUUUGGAGGACACUGGAGUAGGAAAUUGCAAAAAUCAGUCAACAUUGGAAGAAUGGUUACAAAAUUAUGUAAAUGUACUCUGCAUCAAUUCUUGGCAGGUAUAUCGUCUUUACAGGUUUUGAAUUUUAAAUACAUGUUCAAGUCACAUCAUACACAAUAGUUCUAGGCUGAUAGAAAUGGAAACUUGGAAUAAGCAUGUUGACAAUCUGAGUCUGAACUCUGAGGUAUUGAAAAUAAUAGUUCAAAGUCUUUCUCCCGUGGUUUAAUCAAAUCUCGAGGUGAGAUUUCACUUCUUUGUACCACAGUCACUACUCCUUGACUUCUACUUUCUGCAUUGAGGAAAGAAUAUUUAUGCAACAAAUUGUAAAACUAUGGCUUUCCUCUCAGCCCCGUCAUUUGUGGUGGUGACAUUUUAAUCAGUUUUCCAUAAGGAUGCAGAUGAUGCUGAAGUUGAUACCACAGUUUGCCUUCUUUUUUUUUUUUUCCCCUCUUUCCUGUGGUUUGGGGGAGAAAGACAAGGGGAGCGGGGAUUGGUAAUAUUUAAACCCAGCCCCCGGAUCCAUUGGAAUGUAAAUUAGCUUAAGGUACUAAUAUGAAAUCUCUGAGAAAUGCAUGAUCUACAUGUUGUACAAUUGACAUUAAGUUUAAUAUGGCUUUCUUGCAUUUAGCAGGCUGUAAGUUCUUUGUUUGGGGCACUCUUGCUUCCAUUUACUAUCCAUCGUUUUCUGAUGUUCUGUAUUCAUCUUAUGUAGGUCAAAAGAUACAUUGAUGUUUAUUCUGCUUCAUCAAUGAUUGGAUUUUCCUCUGAAGACUUGCUACUCAUAUCAGAUAUAUAUUAUCAGGCUGAGGAGAAAUGGUCACACACUAAGAAAUCUUUAUUUUAUAAAAACGAAAGUGGCCACUCCUUGUUGCCUGUUCUUAAAAGGCAAAUUGGUGCUUAUUUUAAUUUUCUAUCAAAUGUUUCAGAGCUAGCACGCUCCAAAUGGACUGAGUUUAAUUUGAGGAUGAUGGGCAUUGGUCUUGUGAUUAUGUUAAUAUCACUUCUUAUCAUAUUUCUUGCUAUUUGGCAGGCAAAUAGGCCACAUACAGUUUUUCUCCUUCCUUCUGGAGAUAACAGGAUUUCCUUUGAUUUAAUAUUUGCAUUCUUUAUAGUGGCAAUACGUGCAUGCAGCUUGUUUUCAAAUAGUUACAUCUGUAAGUUUUGGCCUCUAAUGCUUCCAAAUCUUUUCCAUUUUUUUCUCUUUUUCCCCUUGCUUAUGCUGACAUUCCAUUUUCCCUCCUCAUUCUUGAGCUCAGUGGAAGAGGGAAAAGUGGCAAUUUUUCUGUUGGCCACAACUGGCAUUGUCAAGUUACGAUGUUCAAUUGUGAAAAAGAGGAUGCUAUUUGAAGUAUGUGCCAGUAACCUUGAAGGUUGAUUAUCACGAGUUGAUCAGAAAAUCUACACUAGACUAUUUAAGGGACGCUGACCUUUUUAAGGGAUUCUUUGCAGGCAGUUUUAUUUCUUCUGUUAGUCUCUGUUCUCCGAUUCACCAUUGAAGUAGGGUUGUCAAAGCAGGCUGCCACUUCCUUAUUUUUGAAUGUAUCUCCCUCAUGGAUGCUUGGGAUUGCCCCAGACCAUCCAAUGUGGACUUACAUGUCUGAAAUUGGGCCAAUUCUAGCUCUAAUCUUAUUAGCAUGUUUACUGUACAGAACCAUUUCUGGUACCUAUUGUCAGGGAAUUUGGAAAUAUGUUAUCAUGGGAACUAUUUCAAGUUAUAUACUCAUAUCAGUGCACUGGGGAUCUGAAAGUAACAUAUCAAGUCUGCCUUUGUUGCUUCAAGGAGUUGGAAGAAGUUACAUCCCCAGAAUGGUGUAUGCUAUUGGCGUGGGCCAACUAUUGUUAAUGGCAUUUGGUCAUCUUUUUACUAAAGAAAAAGCUUUAGAUGAAAAGUGGAGCUUAAUAAUGAAAACAGUGGCCAUGUUAUCUGCAUGGAGUUCAACAAUCAUUAUUCUGUCAGGACAACAAGGUUCCUUGGUUGCGUUAGCAUCUGUAAUUGGAGGGUAUUGCAUAUUGAGGCUGGAGAGUAUGGAAGAAGAUGCCAUCAAUGGCUCUGUGAGAAUGUUGAAUUUCAGUCCCCUUGCUGUAACACAAUGGAAUCUUUUAGCUGUGUGUCUGUUUUUUGCCACAGGUCACUGGUGUGCUUUUGAUGGCCUUCGCUAUGGUGCUGCAUUUAUUGGGUUUGAUGAGUUCAUCCUUGUUCGUCAAGCGAUCCUUCUUACAAUUGAGUCUUUUGGCUUUUCUCAUGUUCUUCCUAUUUUUGGACUUCCAUUUCUUGCUGUGCACCGGUAUUCACUAGGUCAGACCAACCGUGGGAAAAGCUCUAUUUUCUCACUGCUAUGUCUGAUGUACAUGAUGUUUGGACUCAUCAGCACCGCCACAGUCACCGCCACUAUAAUGUGUGUCACCAUUCAAAGGCGGCAUCUAAUGGUAUGGGGAUUGUUCGCGCCAAAAUUUGUUUUCGAUGUGGUGGGUCUUAUCCUCACUGAUGUGUUAAUUUGCUUGGCUUUGAUAUUCUAUUCUGGUAAAGGAGAAGAUGAUGCACAGCAAGAUCAGAUUGCUGAAAAUAAAUACCCUGGAGAUCUUCACUCAAAAAGCUUCACUGUUGAUGCCAUAGAAAAUGAUUUUCAAGAUUAGUAGUUCGAUCUGGUUAGAAAUUUAAUUGGUUCUUCUUCACGUUGAUUUGAUUUGAUUUUUAUCAUUUUUGUUCACCGGAGUGCAAGCUUUCUUGAAGCUUUUUGG
rnacentral:misc_RNA from 1 species